GGUAAUGGCUCACCAAGGCGACGAUCAGUAGCGGGUCUGAGAGGAUGAUCCGCCACACUGGGACUGAGACACGGCCCAGACUCCUACGGGAGGCAGCAGUGGGGAAUUUUGGACAAUGGGGGCAACCCUGAUCCAGCCAUUCCGCGUGAGUGAAGAAGGCCUUCGGGUUGUAAAGCUCUUUCAGCUGGAACGAAACGGUAGAGGCUAAUACCCUCUGCUAAUGACGGUACCGGCAGAAGAAGCACCGGCUAACUACGUGCCAGCAGCCGCGGUAAUACGUAGGGUGCGAGCGUUAAUCGGAAUUACUGGGCGUAAAGCGUGCGCAGGCGGAUUGUUAAGCAAGACGUGAAAUCCCCGGGCUUAACCUGGGAAUGGCGUUUUGAACUGGCAGUCUAGAGUGUGUCAGAGGGGGGUGGAAUUCCACGUGUAGCAGUGAAAUGCGUAGAGAUGUGGAGGAACACCAAUGGCGAAGGCAGCCCCCUGGGAUAACACUGACGCUCAUGUACGAAAGCGUGGGUAGCAAACAGGAUUAGAUACCCUGGUAGUCCACGCCCUAAACGGUGUCAACUGGUUGUUGGGGGAGUGAAAUCCCUUAGUAACGAAGCUAACGCGUGAAGUUGACCGCCUGGGGAGUACGGUCGCAAGAUUAAAACUCAAAGGAAUUGACGGGGACCCGCACAAGCGGUGGAUGAUGUGGAUUAAUUCGAUGCAACGCGAAGAACCUUACCUACCCUUGACAUGUCCAGAAUCCUGCAGAGAUGCGGGAGUGCCCGAAAGGGAAUUGGAACACAGGUGCUGCAUGGCUGUCGUCAGCUCGUGUCGUGAGAUGUUGGGUUAAGUCCCGCAACGAGCGCAACCCUUAUCAUUAGUUGCUACGCAAGGGCACUCUAAUGAGACUGCCGGUGACAAACCGGAGGAAGGUGGGGAUGACGUCAAGUCCUCAUGGCCCUUAUGGGUAGGGCUUCACACGUCAUACAAUGGUCGGUACAGAGGGUUGCCAAGCCGCGAGGUGGAGCCAAUCCCAGAAAGCCGAUCGUAGUCCGGAUUGUUCUCUGCAACUCGAGAGCAUGAAGUCGGAAUCGCUAGUAAUCGCGGAUCAGCAUGUCGCGGUGAAUACGUUCCCGGGUCUUGUACACACCGCCCGUCACACCAUGGGAGUGGAAUCUGCCAGAAGUAGGUAGCCUAACCGCAAGGAGGGCGCUUACCACGGUGGGUUUCAUGACUGGGGUGAAGUCGUAACAAGGUA
rnacentral:rRNA from 1 species